CCCCCUUCAGAUAAAUUUCAGGCCUGGGUGGUGGCACACCAGGUAGGAGGCAUAUGUCACUACACUCAAAGACCUGAAUUCAAGCCGCUAGUUCUCACCUGCAGGGGGAAAGCUUCAUGAGUGGUGGAGCAGGGCUGCAGGCGUCUCUUCUCUCUGUCUCUCUCUCUAUCUUUCAUCCUCUAUCAAAAAAAGAAAAAAAAGGAUGUGACACACAUGACUAAGAUGGAAUAUUAAGGGAAUGUUAGCCCAGCCCAACUCAGAUGAGUCAGGAUUCCUGAGACGACUGGAGACACGUGGUCUUGUGUUCCUGUCUACUGGAUGUGAGCGCCAGUGCAAAGGACGAGUCAGGUCAGCAAUGCGUCGGGGCAGCUGGAGUCAUCUGAGAGUGAUUUGCAAUAAAAUGUUCUAGGAAAAGCUUGGAAGUACAUGCAUUUCUUCUAGACUGAACGAACGCAGUUUCUUGAGUCGCCCAGCAUGCCGCCUGCUGAGAGAGUUCAGGCCACACGGCUGCUGGGCGAUGCCCUCAGAACUGGCUGACAGUGACAGCUCGUGGGCGGCACACAGACCUGGCAGAUGGAGCUUCCUGAAUUGUGAAAUCUGGGGAGAGAGGACCAGGUGGAGACUCAACCCAGUUGAGUGCACAUGCUGCAAUGCAGGGACCAGGGUUCGAGCCCCUGGCCCCCAUUUGCAUGGCUUCCUGAGCAGUGAAGCAGGCCGGCAGACCCGCAUGAGACACUUGUCAAGAGUCAGGAAGAGAGAACACCGCUGCAGUAAGUCAUCUCUUAAAACUCUCCAGUUAGCCGUCCCAAAUCCCAUUUCUUUGGUGAGCAGCUCAGAUGGACCAUGGACCUCGACGCAGACUCCCUAGAGACUACAAGACACAAGACACAGCUGAGAAUCUCUUCCAGCCCAUGAAGAACAGGAAACUGCAAAGGGAGGGAGGAAAGGAGAGGCCAGGGGAGCUGCCUCCGGUAGAGAGCACGCCUCCCAUGCAGGAGGCCCUGGCUUUGUCCUCACGCUGACCUCAUACAAAGUCAGGUGGGAGAGGAAGGUGGCAGCCUCCUGUCCCCUGGGGUCUUUGCAGUGUCAUGAUGUGACAGGACAGCUGGUUCACCAACUCUAAGCUGACUUCCAUCAGAGGGGCCUUGGCUUCCCUGAGUGUCCUGAGGGUCUGCCCUGUCUUCCAGAAGCUAGGCCUCUCUCAGCAGGUGCCCGGGCGGUGCUGAUUAAAUACCUCAUCUUGGAGAAACCGGCCGCCCACAGUCACACACUGGGGAGGAGAUAGGCUGGGGACUUAAACACAGGUCUCCUCUUCCCGGAGAUGCUAGAACUUUCUUCUUGUCCCAACCACGCAGCCUGUUUAUGACAGAGACAAAAAUAUUCCGCUUCCCGCGCCAGGGAGACGUGUAAUUGGAGACACUCAGCACUGAGACACUGAGCGCUGAGCACGUCUUGGAAGUGUCCUCCAGAAAGCUUGGAGGGUGACACCCAGGUGGCUCACGUCACACCCUGCAUUCUCCUCUGCCCCAGCUCCCAGGGGGGCCUUGUGUGCAUUUCUAGCCCCUGAUGACCUCUCAGUGGGAAUAGGCGUCUCAUGCUUUUCAGGCCCAGGAGAGAGAGAGAGCUCGCUCAUCCAGUAGACCAGACGAGAGGUCCCAGGUUUGAACCUCAGGACUGCAUGGCAACACUCAUAGCACCGGGGGAAACUCCACGGGUAGAGGGCUGGUGCUGAGGUGUCUUUCUCUUUCUGUCUCUCUAUCCCUCUGUGUGUCUGAAAUAAAAAGGAGGCCAAACAGAGAUUCACAGGGUAGGGUGCGUGCCUCGCCAUCCACAUGGCCCACGUUCGAGUCCUGAUGCCACAUGGGUGGUAACUGUACUCAGUGGGGUUUGUUUCCGGAUCUGAUGGAGGGCAUGAGAGCAGUGAGCAGUGAGUGACAAGGACAGCUUGGGGAGCAGAAGAUGGCGGACAGCAGUGCUUUCUCCUCUGGAAGCCAUUGCCGUUAAGGGUGUAAUCUGUCUCUUUGGGUCCUGGCAGACCUGCUCAGUUCUGAGUCAGAGCACUUUCCCAUUUUCCAAGCUGAAGGCUUGGCACAAAGGAUUCGGAAGGCGGUGGGAGGGCAGAUGCACAUCGGGUGACGCUUUCUGUGCUGUUUCUGCCCACGGGGUGCCACACAGAUUACACCUUUGAGUCCUGGGGGGGGGGUGUUUCCUUUCUUUGUGCAUCUCAGAGUGUGUGUGUGUGUGUGUGUGUGUGUGUAUUCAAGUGUAGGUGUGGACAUGGUAGAAGGGACCAUUUUUUUUCUUCUUUUUUUUUUUUUAUUGCAAGUGAACUUGGAGACUCCAAAGUCAGAGAGACAGCAUGACAUGACCACUUUUCUUAUUUUUUAAAAUUAUUUUAUUAUCUUUACUUAUUUAGUGGAUAGAGACAGCCAGAAAUCAAGAGGGAAAGGAAUAAUAGAGAGGGAGAGAGACAGAGACACACAUGCAACAUUCGAAAAGCUUACCCCUUGCAGGUGGGGAUCGGGACUCGAACCCGGAUCCUUGUGCAUUGUAACAUGUGCACUCAACCAGGUGCACCACCACCCAGGCCCGACAUAACAACUUUUCUGUCUUGGAUUCGGUUUCCCCCAGACAGAUUGAUGGGGUUUUGGAUGGAUUCAACAGACCAGAUAUGCAGUCACCCCAGAGGCUUCUUCAGGGACACACGGCCAUCCUGCUAGCUGUGACCUUUGUGACAGGAGGGCCUGACCUGAAAGAACUGUGUGCCCACUCUCCCCAAGCCGUCGGCACCAGCACACAGAAAGCAAAGAGCAAAGCAGAGAGAGCUAAAGAAGGGGCCAGGUGGUGGCACAGCUGGUUGAGCACACGUUAUAAUGCUCAAGAACCUGGGUUCAAGCCCCCAGCCCCCCACCUGUACGGGGAAAGCUUUGCAAGUGGUGAAGCAGUGCUGCAGGUGUCUUUCUGUCUUUCUUCCUCUAUAUGUCCCUCUUCCCUCUUGAUUUCUGGCUUUUUCUAUCCAACAAACAAAUAAAGAUUAAAAAAUGUUUUAAAUAGAAAAAGA